CCUACUGGUGGCAGCAGUGGGGGAUAUUGCACAAUGGGGGAAACCCUGAUGCAGCGACGCCGCGUGAGUGAAGAAGUAUUUCGGUAUGUAAAACUCUAUCAGCAGGGAAGAAAAUGACAGUACCUGACCAAGAAGCCCCGGCUAACUACGUGCCAGCAGCCGCAGUAAUACGUAGGGGGCAAGCGUUAUUCGGCUUUACUGGGUGUAAAGGGAGCGUAGACGGUUAUGUAAGUCUGGAGUGAAAUCCCGGGGACCAACCCCGGGACUGCUUUGGAGACUGUGUAACUGGAGUACAGGAGGGGCAGGCGGAAUUCCUGGUGUAGCGGUGAAAUGCAUAGAUAUCAGGAGGAACACCGGGGGCGAAGGCGGCCUGCUGGGGUGAAACAGACGUGGAGGCUCGAAAGCGUGGGGAGCAAACAGGAUUAGAUACCCCGGUAGUC
rnacentral:rRNA from 1 species